rnacentral:lncRNA from 1 species
AGAGGAGAUUGUUAGAUCAAUUUGUCCCAGGAGAGGAAAGAGGAGACCGCAUCAAUGCCUCCAUCAAAGUUGCUAUGAUCAGCCGUUCCACCAAUGCCUCAACAAAGCAAGCAAAGAGAAGUGACUUCCGAUGGAAGGCCCAUAGUUGAGAAGGGCUGACAAAUGCUCCAAUCUCGAUGCCAACAGUAGGAUAAAAAGAGAAAGGGAAAGAGAGAUAGAGGAGCAAGGGAGAGAAAUAGAAGGGGAGAAGAUAGGGGGGUCUAACCGGUGGAUGGAGAGGCCGGCAACAUCCCACG